CAGGGCCAACCCAAGGCAGCUCAGGUGCAAGCAAUGUACCUGAGAGAUUGGAGAGGUGGAGCUGGGAUCCACCCCUUCCCAGACCUCAUUUAAGGGUUGGCAGCGGAGGUGAGAGUAUCUUGCUAGAGAUCCCUGCAUACUUGAGGCCCUUCUAAGGUAAGCAGCUUUUUUUCCUUUGUUUUUGUGACUAUGGCUGCUAUGUUUGGGCUUGUCCUCAUUUGUUGCAGGCAAAGGCUUUGCCACGCUGCCUUUAUUGCUGUACUUUCCAUUACAUUACAGCGCUACAAUGUGAUGCUUUGGAAAGGGUAUUAAUUUGUUGAGGUGACAGUGUUUUCUAUACCUUACUGAAGCUUCUUUCAGGUUUUUUUUUUUUCCCUCUUUCUUGGCCUACAGAAUGGUAGGACUUCACAAACUUCUUAAAUCCUUGGUUUUCCAGCCUUUGAAUGCAGAUUUCAUAAUUCGGAUGUAAAAAAUCUUGUCUUUGGCAGAUACUGUUCUUAAGCUUUGAUGGUUCUGUCCUGUCCAGAUGGACAAGAGUCAAAGGUGCUCAUCCCAUCUCAAUGGAUGUUUUUCCAAGGCUGUUUUGUGUUUCAACCAACUGGCAUAUCUGCUGCCUUCUAAGAGGCAAGAGACACAGACUGCCCGCAGACGACACACCA
rnacentral:lncRNA from 1 species